AGCUCCAAUAGCGUAUAUUAAAGUUGUUGCAGUUAAAAAGCUCGUAGUUGGAUCUCAGGCGCAGGCGGGCGGUCCGGCUCGCGCCGGCUCACUGCUCGUUUAACCUGCCCUACCCUCUGCCGGCUCCCUCCCGUGGGUGCUCUUCGCUGAGCGUCCCGGGUGGCCGGCGCGUUUACUUUGAAAAAAUUAGAGUGUUCAAAGCAGGCCUAGUAAGCCUGAAUAAUGGUGCAUGGAAUAAUGGAAAAGGACCUCGGUUCUCAUUUUGUUGGUUUCCAGAACUGGAGGUAAUGAUUGACAGGGACAAACGGGGGCAUUCGUAUUGCGGCGUUAGAGGUGAAAUUCUUGGAUCGCCGCAAGACGAGCUACUGCGAAAGCAUUUGUCAAGAAUGUUUUCA
rnacentral:rRNA from 1 species